rnacentral:rRNA from 1 species
AGGGUUUGAUUCUGGCUCAGGAUGAACGCUGGCGGCGUGCCUAACACAUGCAAGUCGAACGAAGCGCUUGAACGGAUUUCUUCGGAUUGAAGUUCUUGUGACUGAGUGGCGGACGGGUGAGUAACGCGUGGGUAACCUGCCUCAUACAGGGGGAUAACAGUUAGAAAUGACUGCUAAUACCGCAUAAGCGCACAGCUUCGCAUGAAGCAGUGUGAAAAACUCCGGUGGUAUGAGAUGGACCCGCGUCAGAUUAGCUAGUUGGCAGGGUAACGGCCUACCAAGGCGACGAUCUGUAGCCGACCUGAGAGGGUGACCGGCCACAUUGGGACUGAGACACGGCCCAA